rnacentral:lncRNA from 1 species
AUUUUUUGCUGAGUUUCCUUUAAGUUCUCCUGUGCUGGAAUUUUGCAUUGUACUUUCUGUGUGAUGCGGUUUAGCAAUUAAGAACCCCCGAAUUCCUGUUUGCCAUUGGUAUGGAGGUGUUAGUAAUGCAAGCACUGUUUCCCUCAGACCAUCUUUCCCGAUAAUCUUGUAUUUUAUGGCGAUGUCACAACCGGAAGUGCUUUGCUGGAACAUUUGCAGACAGCUUCAUCCCUUUGUGCAAAGUCACGAUGUUCCAGGUGCUCCGGUGGCCUCUUAUUUCACUCCCAAACCGUCUAUGCAGAUUUUGAAAGGAGACUUUUGAAAAGAGUAAAAAGCAGUCCUGCAAGUGAAUCCCAGACCCAGGUAAGGAGAGGAGAAAACUGAGGCCCAAAGUGGUUAAUUCAAUCAACAUGUGUCCUCAAAGUAGAAAGUGGUGAAGUUACGUCUGUCCUUUGGACCACAUCUGACACUCUGUCUCUGACUCUCUCGGAUGACGAUUAUUUUAGGCUGGUUACUUUUAAAAACUGCAGAUGAGAAGGAGGCUCUGAGAAGUGGAAUUUGCUUGCCCUUUGAUCAGAGCCAUUUGCAUUUGUGAAGGAAGUCUCCAUCUGUGGGGGUGUUUCCUUCCCUGCACCAGGAGGAAGGGGGGAUGGCCUUAUCUCUGGAAACUCUUAAUGGAGAUGGCAAGGACUUAAGUUGUUUACUGUCUGGUAACCUCAUGUAACUGACGCUCUCCCCCCCCCCCCCCCCACCAACAUCCUCCUUUGUCUUUAGCUAAAGAUAAUAUUUAAGGUGGUGGCUUCUGCCAUUUACUUAAUCCAGUUUGAUUCUUAUCUAAAAGUUAUAGGACCACCCAAUAACCAGACCCCACCUGCACUGAUACCAUUUUAACAACUCUUUUUACGUAUUCUUUCCUUUGUCUUGUAAAGAGGUAACUCACAUACCUAUGCCUUAAA